rnacentral:misc_RNA from 1 species
GUGAAUCAUCGAAUCUUUGAACGCAAAUUGCGCUUCCUGGCAUCCCGGGAAGUAUGCCUGUUUGAGGGUCAGUAUUAAUAAAAAUCGGUUUAGUUUCCAAUUUUUUAGUUUCCGGACUGUGGGCUAUCUUAACAAUUUUGGUUAAGAGGGUUAAAAGUGGCCUUUUUUGUGCAUUUUUAAAAGUACAUAAUUUUUUUCUAUUCGCCUAUUCUUAAUGCCGAAA